rnacentral:rRNA from 1 species
GGGGAAUAUUGGACAAUGGGCGCAAGCCUGAUCCAGCCAUGCCGCGUGAGUGAUGAAGGCCUUAGGGUUGUAAAGCUCUUUCACCGGUGAAGAUAAUGACGGUAGCCGGAGAAGAAGCCCCGGCUAACUUCGUGCCAGCAGCCGCGGUAAUACGAAGGGGGCUAGCGUUGUUCGGAAUUACUGGGCGUAAAGCGCACGUAGGCGGAUCGGUCAGUUAGGGGUGAAAUCCCAGGGCUCAACCCGGGAACUGCCUUUAAUACUGCCGGUCUUGAGUUCGAGAGAGGUGAGUGGAAUUCCGAGUGUAGAGGUGAAAUUCGUAGAUAUUCGGAGGAACACCAGUGGCGAAGGCGGCUCACUGGCUCGAUACUGACGCUGAGGUGCGAAAGCGUGGGGAGCAAAC